AAGUCGUAACAAGGUUUCCGUAGGUGAACCUGCGGAAGGAUCAUUAUUGAAACACUUUGGUGAAUCUUUAAGAUAUAUACCCUGAAUGUUGACCCUUUACCAUGUUGCUUCCACCUGGUGUUUGUGUGUAUGUGGUUGUGCGUAUGUGUGUGUGUGUAUGUCUGUGUGUAUGCUUGUGUGGUAAUGAAUGGGACAUUUUUGUCUUGCUCUGUCUGCCAGCUGCCAGCAGCCACCGCCAUCCCAACCUCCUUCCCUCUACCUGGUGGAUGGCUUCUCAUACAAAUUCUGUAUAUAGCAUAAAUGUUUUUCUGAAAUUAUUUAUAAUUAAUAAAUUAAAACUUUCAACAACGGAUCUCUUGGCUCCUGCAUCGAUGAAGAACGCAGCGAAAUGCGAUAAUUAAUGUGAAUUGCAGAAUUCAGUGAAUCAUCGAGUCUUUGAACGCACAUUGCGCCUCUUGGUAUACCUUGAGGCAUGCCUGUCUGAGCGCCUGAAAGAAGCCACUCAACAAAUGUCUUUGUCAUGGAGAUAUUAGUUGGAUUUGUAUCAAAGAAGUAUUUUUCUUUCAUUCUUUCCCUCGGGAAAAGAUUAUGAUGAAAAAAGAAACAAAACUCUUUGUAAAUCUAUGAUUGGGGUAAUUCUGUAGAUGCGACCUUGGGGAGACUUUAUAUUGUCAAGUGUCGGUUUUACAUCUAUAAGGAUUUCCUAAUCUUUGAAACCCAUUUGGUUUGCUUGUGUUGCAAACAAAACUAUGUACUGGGCCUCAGAUCAGUAGGGAUACCCGCUGAACUUAAGCAUAUCAAUAAGCGGAGGAAAAGAAACCAACAGGGAUUGCCUCAGUAACGGCGAGUGAAGCGGCAAAAGCUCAGAUUUUAAAUCUACUGUCCUUUGGGCAUUUGAGUUGUAAUCUGUAGAGAGGUGUUCGAGUAGUGUCUUGGCUCAAGUUCCUUGGAACAGGAUAUCAUGGAGGGUGAGAAUCCCGUGAAUGGCCUUGAAUCUUACUGCUCAUUGUGAACCUUCUUCAACGAGUCGAGUUGUUUGGGAAUGCAGCUCUAAAUGGGUGGUAAAUUUCAUCUAAAGCUAAAUACUGGCAGGAGACCGAUAGCGCACAAGUAGAGUGAUCGAAAGAUGAAAAGAGCUUUGGAAAGAGAGUUAAAUAGUACGUGAAAUUGUUGAAAGGGAAGCACUUGCUCCCAGACUAGCCUGGUACCAAUCAUCCUUCAUUCUUUGUAGGUGCACUUGGUUUCCCUAGGGCAGGCCAGCAUCAGUUUAGACAGAGGGAAAAGGCCUAGGGGAAUGUGACUCUCUUUGGAGAGUGUUAUAGCCUCUGGUGUGUGAUAUCUCUAGUCCUGGACUGGGGACCGCGCUUUGUUUUUCAAAGUGAGGAUGCUGGCAUAAUGGUUGUAAGUGACC
rnacentral:rRNA from 1 species